CCUCCAUCUAAGACGUGACUUGCUCUUCCUUGCCUUCCGCCAUGAUUGUGAGGCCUCCCCAGGCAAGUGAACUAUAAUCAUGAGUCAUCAUCCUGUAUAAAUGAAUAAUAGUUUAAUUUAAAUAAGCCAAUGUUGUUUGGAGGUCGUUUAUCACUUCACAGCUCUCAUUCACAGUCAAGUCAUGUGGAACUACACAACUUCCUUUUUGUGCAUUGGAGCUGGAAAUCUCGUUGAGUUUGGGAGGCCUUACUUCUGCAUAUUUGAAUCUGGUGACCAAAUUAAACAUUGUUCUAAAAAUCUGAAGACCCGACCUUACUAUUGGCAAAGACAGACAAACACUCUACAAAUAGUGCUUGAAAAAUGCCACUGUUUGGUUCAGAUGGUGAAGAGGAACUCAGGAAGGCCUGGCAGUCUCUAGGAGGCUAGGGCAGUGGUUCUCAAAUGAUAGGGUGUACAGAAAUUCCCUGGAGGACUUGUGACAACAAAGAUUGCUAGGCCUACUCCCAGGGUUUCUAAUUCAGCAGGUCUGGGGAUGGAGCUCAAGUAUCUGCAUUUCUAACAAGUCCCCGGUGGUGCUGAUGCUGCUUGCAUGGACCAGUUUUGAGAACCAUACUUGGAGAAACACUUGGUUAGGAAAACUAUGUCUGUUACAGAUUGAUCAAAGGGCUCUUAAGUUCCUUUUGUACAAUAAAUCACUGCGAUAUCAAAUGAGGUAAAUGAACAUGCUCUUUGAACUCUUAACUUCUAGACCAAUAUAAAACAUUCUAAAUAUGAAAUGGAAACAUUUACAAUUGUUAUUGAUUCUCAUCAAUGCAAUGUUCAAUAAAGAUAAGAAUCACGUUUUCAGUCUCCACUCUUGAUUUUCUGCUUUGAUAUGGAUUUUUAGUUUUGCUUUCUUCUGAUAUGCUGGG
rnacentral:lncRNA from 1 species